GACGAACGCUGACGGUGUGCUUUAGACAUGCAAGUCGAACGCGAAAGCCCUUCGGGGUUAGUAGAGUGGCGAACGGGUGAGUAACACGUGGGCAAUCUGCCCCUCGCGAGGGGGACAACCGGAGGAAACUCCGGCUAACUACCCCGUACGCUUGCGGAACCGCAUGGUACCGCAAGGAAAGGUAGCUUCGGCCAUCCGGCGAGGGAUGAGCCCGCGGUGCAUUAGCUAGUUGGUGGGGUAACGGCCCACCAAGGCGACGAUGCAUAGCUGGUCUGAGAGGAUGAUCAGCCACACUGGGACUGAGACACGGCCCAGACUCCUACGGGAGGGCAGCAGUCGGGGAAUUCUUGCGCAAUGGGCGAAAGCCUGACGCAGCAACACCGUGUGA
rnacentral:rRNA from 1 species